UAUUGCACAAUGGAGGAAACUCUGAUGCAGCAACGCCGCGUGGAGGAUGACGCAUUUCGGUGCGUAAACUCCUUUUAUAUGGGAAGAUAAUGACGGUACCAUAUGAAUAAGCGCCGGCUAACUCCGUGCCAGCAGCCGCGGUAAUACGGAGGGUGCAAGCGUUACUCGGAAUCACUGGGCGUAAAGCGCGCGCAGGCGGCCAUUUAAGUUGGAUGUGAAAGCCUAUGGCUCAACCAUAGAACUGCAUCCAAAACUAUUUGGCUAGAGUGUGGGAGAGGAAGAUGGAAUUAGUGGU
rnacentral:rRNA from 1 species